AGCUUUGCGCAGUGGCGAUAUCGUAACCAAUGAGGUUUUACCGAGGAGUGAUUAUUGCUAGUUGAAAAAGAGUUUAUUUGAAUGUUUUCUAUCCAUGUAACACUGUGACCAAAUAUAUUUGGUUUUGUGAUUUUUCA